rnacentral:sRNA from 1 species
GAGGCUCAUUUUGCAGUUGUUGAAAUUGUCCUCGCAGUUUUCAAUCAUGUCUGAACCAAUCAGAGUCCUUGUGACUGGAGCAGCUGGUCAAAUUGCAUAUUCACUGCUGUACAGUAUUGGAAAUGGAUCUGUCUUUGGUAAAGAUCAGAUGUCAUCGCAACAGAUAAAGAAGAGAUUGCCUUCAAAGACCUGGAUGUGGCCAUUCUUGUGGGCUCCAUGCCAAGAAGGGAAGGCAUGGAGAGAAAAGAUUUACUGAAAGCAAAUGUGAAAAUCUUCAAAUCCCAGGGUGCAGCCUUAGAUAAAUACGCCAAGAAGUCAGUUAAGGUGACCAACACUGUAUUUUAUGGGAUUUUUCAUCAUUAGCAUUUGAAACUUACGCUUUUAGCAUUUAAGCAAAACCAGAAUUAUUUGGCCUUUUUUCUAGUUCUGUACACAUCAGUAAAUACGGCUAUAGAGUUUUGCUUGAUAAGCUCUCCCUUUCUGGGUUUUUUCUUACAGUGUAGAAAUCUAUAUUCAGAGUGGUUAAAAAUAUUUUUCCUAUUAGUAUAACGUGAAAAUUUAGUAUUAGUUCUUAAACCUAUAGAGAAGGCACAGGACCUUCUGGUGCAUUUUUGCUGCAUGGGAAUAUUUAUUUAGACAUUUAAAUUUGUGUGUGAUUGUGAAAGGAGAUAGCUAGCUGUAAGGUAAGUUUAUUCUCAGGAGUAGAAGAUAGUGGUUUCUGAAUGCUCAGAUUUUCUUAAUGCAGAGGAAUUUUAAUAUGCUUGUCUCUUGAAGAAUUGAGUCAGUAUGACUUAUAGUUCUCUCUUUGUGUUCGAACUAUUUACUUUAGAUUCUAAUAUGUCUUAAUAUUACAGUAAGCCUUUCUUAUUUUUUAUUUUUUUUUCAAUUGUUUUGAGAUGGAGUCUUGCUCUGUCACCCAGGCUGGAGUGCAGU